rnacentral:tRNA from 1 species
GGGUGAUUAGCUCAGCUGGGAGAGCAUCUCCCUUACAAGGAGAGGGUCGGCGGUUCGAUCCCGUCAUCACCCACCACUU